rnacentral:rRNA from 1 species
AUUGAACGCUGGCGGCAUGCCUAACACAUGCAAGUCGAACGGCAGCACGGCAGUAGCAAUACUGUGGGUGGCGAGUGGCGGACGGGUGAGGAAUACGUCGGAAUCUGCCCAAUCGUGGGGGAUAACUAACCGAAAGGUUAGCUAAUACCGCAUACGACCGAGAGGUGAAAGCGGGGGACCGGCAAGGCCUCGCGCGAUUGGAUGAGCCGACGUCGGAUUAGCUUGUUGGUGGGGUAAAGGGACCUACCAAGGCAACGAUCCGUAGCUGGUCUGAGAGGAUGAUCAGCCACACUGGAACUGAGACACGGUCCAGACUCCUACGGGAGGCAGCAGUGGGGAAGUAUU